CAAUUUUUAAGCAACUUUAAACAUUUGUAAAAAAAUCAAUUUCGACUGGAAUCAGAUCAAACUUUCUACACACCAAUAAAAUACUUCAAAGCCAAAGGUCAGUGUUGAUUAGUGAUACUCACUAUAGUGACAACUACAUGUAGUGAUUGUUAGUUCUUAUGAUAAUUGUUUAUUUUAUUUUAUUUUUCACUAGUCCCUUACGAGCUCAAUUCAAAGUUCAUGUGAUAUACAGCACAUUUAGAAGUGGGAAAGAACAUCUGGUCAGUUGUUGUAAUUUGAAUAGUUUGCUUCUCCGACUCACUAUAAAAAUGUAUUAGACUAUCUUGCUAAAAGCCACACCUCCUCUAAUACCAUAUUUGGCAUUGACUAUGAGUGAGCUGGUUAGUGUGUCUGAGAGUGCAUCAAACUAUAUUGAAGGAGAUUUGGUUAACUUUACUAAAAUGAGAAAAGUAAGUACCAAU